UGUCACCGCGCGGGCCUGGCGGGACUCACGCUGUCGCUGCCGGCCCCGUGGGCAGGACCAGAUGAGCUCACCGCUGCCGAGGGCCCAACCUUGAGCCGCCAGGCCUCACUCCGUCUCCGAGUGAGUCAUCCCGCUGUCCUCCCAGCCCCAGACCUGCCCUUCCCGAGGGAGAGAGAGGGCGGCCGCCAACUCACAACCCCUCAAGGUCCAUCAGCCAACGCGUGCAUCACAGAACGUGGCCCAUCCACGCGCGGAAGACGACGCAGCCACGAAAAGGAGCGAGGUGCCGGCACGCGGCCCCACGGGAGGAGCCAGACACGAAGGGCACGUAUCGUAUGGUUCCACGCAGUUACAGGGGAAAGGAGAAACCACACAACUUCAACAAAGCCUCUUGCACACUCCACGGCGAGAUCCACGUAAAAACCACCUAGUGGACGCAGAGGCCCGAGAAAACUGACAACAUGGCCCUCGGGGGGCUGACAGCUCUGAGCCCCGCCGGCCCCCAGGGGCCUUCUCGAGCCGCUGCACGGAGGCCUGAACCUGCGAGAGGAGGCAGGGGGCUCUUCUGGGUGACGCUCUCAUUCCCAUUGUGCAGAUGAGAAGACUGAGGCCCAGGGAGGUGGCCUCGCCUGAGGGGGGAGCUGGAGGGAAGAGUCCGAGAGAGCGGCGCCAAGGGGACGUGACCAAGCUGAGAACACCCCGAAACAGAGCCU